AAAGCAUCAGUGCAAUAAUGUGACGUAAUAAUGACGUAACUACAGCCUCUUCUAUGUAUGCAUUUGCAACCCAGCUGUAGUAUCACUUAACACCAGAGAGGGCAGUGUUGCGUCACGGUGGCGUUGAGUCACCCCCUCUGGCCUAUUUGAACAUGAGGGACACAGCACUGCCCAGGUUUUCUUGCUACAAAAGUGGCGUCGACCCAGUGUCCUUGGAAGAGCACCCAAAAGAAGAUAGACAUCCUCCAACAGCUGGUGUUGAACAUUAACGCCGAGGGCUUCGAAUUCUCACGGUAUCGGCUUCAAUUUCGAGGAAUGCGCGACUCGGCCGCAGAGCAGGAGCACACCUUGCCUUACGUAAGCUUCAGCAGGACCCUUCACAGAUGUGUGACAUUCUCAGUGCGCCACACAGGGGAACCAUUAUAAGGUUAUAUAGGAAGUCUGUGUUUACCAUCUCGGCUCAUGCCCAAAGCGAGACACUUCUGCAGACGACAGUGCUGACAGCGGUUGCGGUUGGUCCGGUCGAUCAGGCAGUUCCUCUGGCGGGAACAGGAAUACAUGGCGUUGUUCUGCUGGCUGCGGCGGAAGAAGCCCUGAAGAGCCUUCACAGGUGAUGACACCGUAGUGGAUCCCCGAGGACUUGUCCCCGCAGAUUUUACAGGGGAUGACCUCGAUCUGAGCUGCAGGGACCAAAAGCAAGAUUGAUCAGGACUUACCUCAUGCAGCGGGCGUGCAGGUGGCAGCGGGAGGUGGGCACGCGCACCAAACAGGAGGGGAAGGCCAGCAGCAGCGUGUGACUGGCGCGGUCUAAGGUCAGAGACAGCAGCUGGCGAGCCUGAGCAGAGUCCUCGCCACACCUGCGGAGACAAAGUCCAGGUUGGCUGCCUUCCAACUGGGUCACAUGGAAGCGGUCGGGAGCAGAGCAAGGGAGAGGAUUGGGAGUGACGGCAACGUCACGAAAUGCCAGGAGACUUUGAAAAAUCUUGUUAAAAACAUUAAAACCUCAUUACACCUGCACGCUUGGCUCUUGGACCGUGUCUGAAGACAUCACGCAUCGUUUUUUUAAAGGCUCCUGAAGGCAUCACACACAGUUUUGGAAGGCUCCUGAAGGCAUCACGCACAUUUUUUUAAGGCUCCUGAAGGCAUCACACGCAGUUUCGCAGCAUUUUUAUGUGGAAUAGUUCUCUCUGGGUGAUUUUGAGGAUCUGACAAGUACUGGAAAUACUCCGGCGUGACCUCGGGCCCUCUGGCCUUUGCAUUCUGAAGAGUGAAGCUCCUCCCGGGCCAAUCUCUGAGGACCAGGCUGGAAUAAGUCAUGCAGCAGAUGCUGCUUCUUCUGCUCUUUGUGCCCUGAGCUGUGGAGGAUUCAACACCCUUUUUAAGUCUGAGUUUCAUGAAUGUAUCAUGAUCAUGUAUCAUGAAUGUAUCGUGAGUAUCAUGAAUGUAUCAUGAUCAUGUAUCAUGAAUGUAUCAUGAAUGUAUCAUGGGUAUCAUGAAUGUAUCAUGGUCAUGUAUCAUGAAUGUAUCAUGGGUAUCAUGAAUGUAUCAUGAUCAUGUAUCAUGAAUGUAUCGUGAGUAUCAUGAAUGUAUCGUGAGUAUCAUGAAUGUAUCGUGAGUAUCAUGAAUGUAUCAUGAUCAUGUGUCAUGAAUGUAUCGUGGGUAUCAUGAAUGUAUCAUGAUCAUGUAUCAUGAAUGUAUUGUGGGUAUCAUGAAUGUAUCAUGAUCAUGUAUCAUGAAUGCAUCGUGAGUAUCAUGAAUGUAUCAUGAUCAUGUAUCAUGAAUGUAUUGUGAGUAUCAUGAAUGUAUCGUGAGUAUCAUGAAUGUAUCAUGAUCAUGUAUCAUGAAUGUAUCGUGAGUAUCGUGAAUGUAUCAUGAUCAUGUAUCAUGAAUGUAUCGUGAGUAUCAUGAAUGUAUCAUGAUCAUGUAUCAUGAAUGUAUCGUGAGUAUCAUGAUCAUGUAUCAUGAUCAUGUAUCAUGAAUGUAUUGUGAGUAUCAUGAAUGUAUCAUGAUCAUGUAUCAUGAAUGUAUCGUGAGUAUCGUGAAUGUAUCAUGAUCAUGUAUCAUGAGUAUCAUGAAUAUGCUCAACGAUACAGUAUACACUACGGUUGUACCCAUACCAAUAUUUUAAUACAGGUACCAAAAUGUAUUUCGAUACUUUUUGAUACUUUUGUAAAUAAAGGGGACCACAAAAAAUCCCUUAUUGUCUUUAUUGUAACAAACAAUGUUAGUGUAGA